rnacentral:lncRNA from 1 species
AUAUAUCACGCUUGCUCCUCCAGAAAGUUGGGUUUCUACUUCCGGAAUUGUAAGUUCGUGACUUUUAUUGGUCCUGUGGUCCUGGCUGACGUUAGUAACGUCUGGGACUGUCAUUUUCACUGACUGCAGUUCCUGUAAUUCAGAGGCGAUUACCCUGCGGCAAAAUCUACGUUCAAUAGGUGAGGGUUGUCUUCCCAUCAUGUAUCUUA